GAUGAACGCUGGCGGCGUGCCUAAUACAUGCAAGUCGAGCGAACAGAUGAGGAGCUUGCUCCUCUGACGUCAGCGGCGGACGGGUGAGUAACACGUGGAUAACCUACCUAUAAGACUGGGAUAACUUCGGGAAACCGGAGCUAAUACCGGAUAAUAUAUUGAACCGCAUGGUUCAAUAGUGAAAGACGGUUUUGCUGUCACUUAUAGAUGGAUCCGCGCCGCAUUAGCUAAUUGGUAAGGUAACGGCUUACCAAGGCAACGAUGCGUAGCCGACCUGAGAGGGUGAUCGGCCACACUGGAACUGAGACACGGUCCAGACUCCUACGGGAGGCAGCAGUAGGGAAUCUUCCGCAAUGGGCGAAAGCUUGACGGAGCAACGCCGCGUGAGUGAUGAAGGUCUUCGGAUCGUAAAACUCUGUUAUUAGGGAAGAACAAAUGUGUAAGUAACUAUGCACGUCUUGACGGUACCUAAUCAGAAAGCCACGGCUAACUACGUG
rnacentral:rRNA from 1 species